rnacentral:tRNA from 1 species
GGAGGCGUGGUGUAGUGGUCAAACAUGCCUGCCUGUCACGCAGGAGAUCGCGGGUUCGACUCCCGUCGCUUCCGCCA